rnacentral:piRNA from 1 species
UGAUGACUUUGGGUUGGAAGUCAAUC